rnacentral:lncRNA from 1 species
GGUGGGGUUAAACAUGUUAGCAGGGUGUACAUCGUUUCGGAGCAUGCUAUUACCUUGUUUAAUUCGUUCCAUCACUCGCUUAUAAUUCGCUUAUAAUACGUGUAUCAUACGUUGCACCUUUUAAAACAUGAUUUUCAAUUGUUUUGUUGUCUCUGGUGGUAGAUUUGGGUUCUUAGAGGUGAUAUAACUCUAUAAGCGCAUAUGUACCCGUUCCAGCGCUCGGAUAAUACCCUGUUACUUAUUCGUUC